rnacentral:rRNA from 1 species
GAGCGCCCAGCAAUGGGAGCGGCGGACGGGUGAAUAACGCGUGGGAAUAUGCCCUUUGGUUCAGAACAACUCAGGGAAACUUGAGCUAAUACUGGAUGAGCCGGUAACGGGAAAGAUUUAUCGCCAAAGGAUUAGCCCGCGUCCGAUUAGCUAGUUGGUGAGGUAAUGGCUCACCAAGGCACCGAUCGGUAGCUGGUCUGAGAGGACGACCAGCCACACUGGGACUGAGACACGGCCCAGACUCCUACGGGAGGCAGCAGUGGGGAAUCUUGGACAAUGGAGGAAACUCUGAUCCAGCCAUGCCGCGUGAGUGAUGAAGGCCUUAGGGUUGUAAAACUCUUUCGGCGGGGACGAUAAUGACGGUACCCGCAGAAGAAGCUCCGGCUAACUUCGUG